AAAACCUUUGACUCUAAUAUGUCAACAAAGGGAAACAAUUAUUUUGAACCUGGCUUUAUCCAUAUUUACAUUUCUGAUCUGGAAAUAUACGCAAAUUAGCAAAGAUAAUGCCUCAUAUUGCUGCAUUUUUAACAUACAAUUUAAGAAAACUUGCAAUC